rnacentral:lncRNA from 1 species
UGAUCUCAAUGGCGGUGUCACAGAGGGUGCUGCCUAUCCUAAAUGGCAAAGCAAAAGCAGAACACAUGUCCUCCAUAAGUGUCCCACCCUCCUCUGUUUUCUGUCGCAGCAAGGUCAAGGUCUCCAGUGUCCAAAGAAACAGGACGGGCAACAGUAGUUGUACCCAGUGAUCGGACACCUUGGAGAACUCAAGCUGCAAAUUGCUAACGAGUAGUUUGCUCCUCGUCUUCUGUCACCCUGAAUGACCAUGGAAGCAAUUCGCAGGACUACCCGAGAUUCUUUUUCAUCACCCUUACUAGAAGACGGAAGACAAGUAUUCAGACCUGAUUUCUACAGGAAGGCUGAAACCCUAAUGGCAAAAUUCAAGGGAAUGCAUGUGCAUGUUUACCGUCAGUUCUCUUCCUGACCAGGGGCUUCGCCAGAGAGAACAUGGGGGCCGCCCGCAGGAGGAGGGAGGGAGGGAUUAACAUACUAUAAAUUGAGGAACUGCUCAGGCAUACUGAAAGGACAUGAGCAGCAGUUUGGGGGGACGACUGUCUAACGACACGGACGCAUCUUCGUCAUCAUCCUCGGGAGGUCAGAAUCCUUCUACGGAAACGAAUAUAAAAAGGGGGGGAAAAAGAGACACAGGCCAGAGUAGAACCUUCGAAUGCCUGGGAAGAAGCACGGAAAAGAAAAAACACUUAGAACUGGAAGGACUGUCACGUUUUUGAUUCACCUGGAUCUGAAGGUAUCCAUCGCGGUCUCUACCAAAAUACAGAGACGCACUGGAUGGAGAAGAACAUCAUGCGUCUACCUCCCCCUCUGCCCGUCCAUUGGCCGAAACACCACAAGAGCGAUGAAUCAGUCGCCCCUUUCACCCCUCCCGCGGCCGGCUCACACAUGAUCCGUCAGUCUGCAAAAUAGGAAAGAGGAAGGCGAUCCCCUAGCCAAAGGAACACUCGAGAGGAGAGGAUGGCCUCCCCGGGCGAAGUUGCAGAAGAUCGGGCUCCCUAUCCAUCUUCCCCGCUGCCGAUCUUACUUCCCCCGCUCCUCUGUUUUUCUGAUGAUUACCUUCCCGCAUUUACAUUAUUUUCGAGCUUCAAACCUGCAGACACUGCACGGAGAGUCCUUCCUUCCUUCCUUCCUCUGCUUCAAACCCGGUGAUCCCCUCCCUCUUUACAUCAUAUUCGAGCUCGAGGCGUUGGAGACUCUGCAGGGAGAGCUUUACGAGCUAUGGAAUACGAGGAAAUGGAGAGAGAGGGAGAGAGAGAGAGAGAGAGAGAAGAGGAAGGAGAGGGGAAGACGUCGGGAAGCCAUCGUG